rnacentral:precursor_RNA from 1 species
CCAGUCGGCGUCCUGGGUGUUGCGGCGGGACCGCCGUUGUGCUGGAGGCCUCUGGCG